rnacentral:lncRNA from 1 species
AUGAAGAGGGACAGGGAAGAGGACAGUGAACAAACAGAGCUGUCAUAUGACCGGUAUCUCAAGUGGGAUGGAGGCCGAGGAUCAAGCUCCAAAUUUCUGGGACCAGGUGGACCUCAAAUUGAAAGCUCACAGCAUUCUCCUGAGUCAGGUGGACAGGGGUAUAAGAAGACUGACAUCUGGAUAGCUGAUGAUGCAGAUAUACGUUGCCUGAAGAGGCAUGUCCAAAGCAGACUGCUGUGGAAUGAACAAAAAUGUACCACGUACCGGGUUCCAAACCCACACUUGAAUUGGCUCAGGCUCCAACUUCAUCUCUCCUCCCCCACGCCCCUCACUUCUAUAUGUAGUAUGGUUGUGGACAGCAAGGAAACAGUAUCAACAGACAGAUGGAUUGGGACAAGGAGUUUGUAUUUUCUGAGUUUUCUGGCAAUAAAUGGACUGAUGGAAACUUUUGGCCUCUCUGGGAUCCUCAUAGGCCUGAAAGCCCACUAGGCCAUAUGGACUACAGUGUAUCAUCAUAGCCCAAAAGAGGAUGGAUGUCUUUACUGGAGCAACAAACAUUUACUCAGUGCCUACUGAGUGCCGAACAUCUUAUUUUAGAGGGAAGGAGCUGAAGGCACAGACAUGCUUUAGGGGAAACUAUGAUGCAUCGAGAAAGCUAAAUGUUAUUUUAAAAGAUUCAAAUUAUAUUCAAAGUUCUAAAAUGUUGUAUAUUAGUUUAAUUCCAUUAAUUAUGGAAAUAAAAACAUUACAUAAACUAAGAUGAGAAUAUUCUUGAAAUCCUUUCAU